GUGAGGAGAGAGAAAUAGAGACAGAGAGAGACAGAGAGUGAGAACAUAGGUGGGAAGAAGAAACGGGGAGGCAGGGAGGGAGACUGAGGGCAGGGAAUCAGUGCCUGCUCUCCCUCUUCUGAAACACACCAGGGAAAGCCCUUUGGGAAUUUACGACGGCAACAACAGGCUAUUGGAGCCACUAUUAUCAUUAUUUUUACAGAUGCUGUAAAAAACCUCAGCAAGUCUCCUGGGAAAUCUGAGUGUCUGUCUUGUGCCUGGGACUGUCUUAGAAGCUGGAGAUGCUGCCGUGAAUGAGACACACCAUCCCUGCCUUCAUGGACCGACUAGAAGCACCUUCUAGUCUUACUUUCUCAUUGAACAGAGGGGUAAACUGAGGCUUAUGGUUGGGAGGGGGAAAUGAUUGACACAUGGUCAUAUAGUGGGAUGGUGGCAGAAGUGGGACUAGAUCUCAGGUUCCUCACUGCCAGGCAAGAGCGUGUUCUGUGACUCUAGGCUUAGAAAGGAGAGGAAGUCUCUUAUUGAGAACACACAGGGCAAGUGGAGAGUCAGAUCCAUGAUGAGCCACCAACUGGGAAGUAGGAGGGCACAAAGGUGCUUGAGGAUCAUUCGAGGUUUUGUUAAUAAACCUUUUGUUUCAGAAGAGUUUUAGAUUUACAGAAAAGUUGCUGAUAGAAUACAGAGAGUCCUCAUAUAUUCCACACCCAGUUUCCUUUAUUAUUAGCAUUUUAGAUUAGCAGGACAUGCUUGCCACAAUUAAUGAACCCUAUUGAUACCUCACUAUGAACUGAAGUCCACUAUGAACUGAAGUCCAACCCUAUUGAUACCUCACUAUGAACUGAAGUUCAGACUUCCUUACUUUUUAGCUCAUGUUCUUUCUCUGUUCCAGGAUCUCAUGCAGAAUACCACAUCACAUUUAGUCAUCAUGUCUCAGACUUCUCUUGGCUGUGACAGUUUCACAGGCUUUGUUUUUGAUGACCUUGACGGUUUGGAGGAACAUUGCUCAGAUAAUUGCAAGGCUGCAUUAAGGGAAGAGAAAGAGGCAUGGAAGAAGAGAAAGCAAAGCAUCACAAUAGGCUUGAAAGCACUUUUUGGGACAAAACUUUGUAUGUGUACUGAAAUGUGGAACUUAGUGGAAGCAAACAGAAAUCUACUACGUUUUUAAGGGAGGUAAAUUGCUAUGAAACCAUGAACCUGGAACCAAAAAGCUUUCGACUAUUGAGUCCUAAAACCAGUUUCACGCCAGCAUACUUGCACCAGCAGAAGGCUGGCUGUUGAAGCUGGGUAACUGCCAAAGGUUGCAUUCUCCCCAAUAUCCACUGUAGAUAUAGCCAUGGUGGAUAAUGGAAAAGGGAGACCCUUCAAUCAAAAGGGAAGAGUCAGGUCACAGAGGACGGUGACAAAGGAGUUCUUCUCAGAAAACAGAAUCAGAGUUGAAUAUAAGAACUUAGUCUGAGGCCUUCAUAAUGCUCUCCAAGCAGGAUUUCAGAAUUGCUAUGAACCAUAAUGGGCGUGUGUGUUUUCCUUCUUUUCAAACAAGGUCUUUAAUUUGCUGUUACUCUGUCCCUGUGCCACCAUUGUAUAUUGGGUGUGUGUAGAGUAGGGGGUGGGUUGGGGGGCAGAUAAUUUUUCUUUUUAGUUCAUAGGUCACUGGACCACCAAGAGACCUGAUGGAGAUACUGGAACAUUGGCGAUCUUGAGCUUUGACCUGGAUGUGCUGACAGGGGAUGUGAAAAGUCAAGGAGAAUGAUGCAAAAAUACUCAUGAACUAUCCGGUGCUGAACAAAUAGAGGGAAGAUAAUGAUGCUGCUGACGAAACUGAUGAAGAAGACCACGAUGAUGAUAAUUGUGCUUUGCUCGUAAAGUUACUUGAUUUUUGACUGACUGAUUAGAUGCAGUUUCCCUGAAUGGAGCUGCCUACCGCCUUCCUUCUAGGGCUUAUCCAGACAACCUUGGCAUUAUUCAUAAUAGCCAAGAUAUGAAAUCAACCUAAG
rnacentral:lncRNA from 1 species